UGCCAUCUCUGUUCCCAGUCACCAGCAUAUUGCAAGUCAAAGGGAGGCCUUUCCGGUAAUUUGAGCAUUUCCAACAAAUAACUCUGGUCUCCCAGUGCACCAGCCUACAGUGGCCGCAGGGCCACAACGCACUCUUCCCAGAGCUGCUAGAGCUCACCUCUGCUCUUCAGCUCAGAUUCUAGUUGGCAUCUGUUAUCACAGGGAACUCUCUCUGGAUGGAGAUGCUCAAGCUCAGAGAAGUGAGCAAACUCUCUUCUGGUUGCACAGCGGGCUCUCAGCCUUCCCACUUCUGGUAAGCUGCUUGAACUGAGAAGUCACUGAUUUUUCUCACCAGAUGAAGAAGCCACGCCAGUGCACAUGGAUGCAUGCCUACUAAUGUUCAGCCCCACCUCCAGGUGCUCUCUUGGGGAGGGAGGGGCCCCUAUACCGGUCCUGGGUGGGAGUUUAGUGUAGCUCCUCCUUCAGUCACCAAGCACUUUCUCUGUGCCAAGCCUGGGCCUGAGCCUGGAGAUUCCAAGAGGAUUAAGCCAUGGUCUCUGAUCCCCAGAGAGUUUGUGGGCCCCCGUGGAAUACACACAGCCCCUUCCUAACCUUCCUAGGCCCUGCAGAUAAGUGAGUCAGGCAUCUGGCUCAGUAAAAAGUGUCUUCUCCAUUUUAUGGACAAGGAAGCAGAGGCUCAGAGAGGGUAAAUGACUUGCCCCAAAUCACACAGCCAGUAAGCCUGCUUAGUAGCUCUACUGCAUCACACUGGUCUGGACCAAGCUGAUUGAGUGAAAGGGGGCAGAGUUGGGGUGGCCAUCAAACCCCUAAAACCCGAGGAGGGGAAGAGAGGGGUAGCACAAAAGAGGAUUUACUUUCUUCCCCCAAAAUGAUGUCAUCAGCUAAGACAAAAAGAAAAAGAAAACGCCCAUUUUCUCACUCCAAGUUUCCCCCUCAUUAAUUUUAAUCUAAUUUGCUCAUAACAUUCCUCAGUAAACAGCAGCCUCUCUUUAAUAAGCCAGGCUCUUCCCCCCGACCCUGCGAUUGUGUUCCUAAUCAGCCAGUGUAUCAGGAAAGACCUGCUGCUAAUUGUCGCUAGGCAUCACACUAUCCUGUCUGUCAGGUAAGGGGUGGCAGCGAGAGAUAAUUAUAAUCAGAUCUAAUUAGUAAUUAUAAAAGAUCCCGACUAGAAAUUGUUUUCAGUUAAAUAUUCCCAGAGAGGUGCUAAUGGUCUCCGGGGCAUGCCAAGUGUCACAGCCAGGAGGGGAAGGGGCCCGUGACCUGGCACCCUGUGACGACAAGCAGAGGAGACUCAGUGAUGAGAGGAAUGGUGUGUCCAUGGGGACAGAGCUGGCCUGGCGUCCCAGUAUCCUGCUUCCUGGGAGGAGCACCUUCCCUUCUGCACCUAAGGUUGAGUCCCCCUCCCACAGGAGCACCUGCGUGGGCCCUCAGUAAAUGCCAGUUCUUCACAGGCUCAGGACCUCGACGCACGGAAACUUCUGGAUCAUUAAAGAAGCUGUGUGGGCCAGGACCUAACUACCCAACACUUCCCUGCCUUCAGAUUCACGCCCCAUACCCUGCAUGGUUCUGUUCCUGGGACCCUCGGAUCAGGCGAUGAGCUCUCUUAAACACCUAGGACGGCUCCACACUGCCCACAGCCAAAUUCAGAUGCUCCAGCGUGGCUCAAAGCCCUUUCCACUGAGCCCCAACCUGUUGACUGGGCUGACAUCCGACUACACUUGCUCAAGCAUUGCACGCCAAACAUC
rnacentral:lncRNA from 1 species